AGUGAACGCUGGCGGCAGGCCUAACACAUGCAAGUCGAACGGCAGCACAGUAAGAGCUUGCCUUUACGGGUGGCGAGUGGCGGACGGGUGAGGAAUACAUCGGAAUCUACUUUUUCGUGGGGGAUAACGGAGGGAAACAUACGCUAAUACCGCAUACGAUCUACGGGUUAAAGCAGGAGAUCUUGAGACCUUGCGUGUCUGAAUGAGACGAUGUCGCAUUAGCUAGUUGGCGGGGUAAAGGCCCACCAAGGCAACGAUCCGUAGCUGGUCUGAGCGGAUGAUCAGCCACAUUGGAACUGAGACACGGUCCAGACUCCUACGGGAGGCAGCAGUGGGGAAUAUUGGACAAUGGGCGCAAGCCUGACCCAGCCAUGCCGCGUGGGUGAAGAAGGCCUUCGGGUUGUAAAGCUCUUUUGUUGGGAAAGAAAAGCAGCAGGUUAAUCCCCCGCUGUCCUGACGGUACCCAAAGAAUAAGCACCGGCUAACUUCGUG
rnacentral:rRNA from 1 species